rnacentral:rRNA from 1 species
GAUGAACGCUGGCGGCGUGCCUAAUACAUGCAAGUCGAGCGAACGGACGAGAAGCUUGCUUCUCUGAUGUUAGCGGCGGACGGGUGAGUAACAAGUGGAUAACCUACCUAUAAGACUGGGAUAACUUCGGGAAACCGUAGCUAAUACCGGAUAAUAUUUUGAACCGCAUGGUUCAAAAGUGAAAGACGGUCUUGCCGUCACUUAUAGAUGGAUCCGCGCUGCAUUAGCUAGCUGGUAAGGUAACGGCUUACCAAGGCAACGAUGCAUAGCCGACCUGAGAGGGUGAUCGGCCACACUGGAACUGAGACACGGUCCAGACUCCUACGGGAGGCAGCAGUAGGGAAUCUUCCGCAAUGGGCGAAAGCCUGACGGAGCAACGCCGCGUGAGUGAUGAAGGUCUUCGGAUCGUAAAACUCUGUUAUUAGGGAAAAACAUAUGUGUAAGUACCUGUGCACAUCUUGACGGUACCUAAUCAGAAAGCCACGGCUAACUACGUG